rnacentral:lncRNA from 1 species
AGUGCUCACUGAAAAUGUGUCAAGAAGAGCCCCUAACUGGGCCCUAUGACUGGAGCUGAAGGGGCAGACUUAAAGAACAGUCUCUUUGAGAUGCAGACACUUUUGGAUUCCAUCCUGUUAGACAAGCUGCACACAACAGAAUGACCAAGGGCGAGACCGAGAGACCAGGGAAACCGCUCAGGUAUGGUCUGAAUUGCAAGGACACACAUCAGUUGCACAGCUGGAGCAAACAGCUGGGAAGCCUGUCUGGGGAGACAUCUGCCUGAGGUGGCUGGUGAGCCAAGAAUGAGGAGUGGUCACACUUUGCAGCCCAGGCACCUCCUGAGAAUGACAGCCCUCCAGUCAGAUCUAUCCUGAGAGGAACCUAGUGCCUGCCACAGUCCCUUGCAAUGUUGCCUUUGCUGUAAAGAUGAAAAUGAUGGGAAAUAAAUUUUUCCAGAAGAUCUGGUCCAUAUGCUGCUGCCCGCCAUGGCUGGAGUCUCGGAUUCAACCAUUGUGUUGGCUGCCUGCUGCCCAGACUGAGUGGGGUGAACUCAGGACAGAGCCUUGCUUUGGCAUGAAUACCUCUGCCUUCUCUUGCUGACACAUUCCCUCCACCACUCAAGAAUGCACAGAGCCCUUGCCAGGUUGAGAAUGCCUGACUGUGACAGCAGCGUUUGCAAAGUAAAGAGCCUAUUU